AUUGAACGCUGGCGGCAUGCCUUACACAUGCAAGUCGAACGGUAACAGGUCUUCGGAUGCUGAUGAGUGGCGAACGGGUGAGUAAUACAUCGGAACGUGCCUAGUAGUGGGGGAUAACUACUCGAAAGAGUGGCUAAUACCGCAUGAGAUCUACGGAUGAAAGCAGGGGAUCGCAAGACCUUGUGCUACUAGAGCGGCCGAUGGCAGAUUAGGUAGUUGGUGGGAUAAAAGCUUACCAAGCCGACGAUCUGUAGCUGGUCUGAGAGGACGAUCAGCCACACUGGGACUGAGACACGGCCCAGACUCCUACGGGAGGCAGCAGUGGGGAAUUUUGGACAAUGGGCGCAAGCCUGAUCCAGCAAUGCCGCGUGCAGGAUGAAGGCCUUCGGGUUGUAAACUGCUUUUGUACGGAACGAAAAGCCCCGGGUUAAUACCCUGGGGUCAUGACGGUACCGUAAGAAUAAGCACCGGCUAACUACGCGCCAGCCGCCGCUGUAA
rnacentral:rRNA from 1 species